ensembl:lncRNA
CUCCUGGUUCAGUCACACCUGGUUUUUUUUGUUGUUUUUCAGGCUCUGAGUGUUCUGCUCCUGGCUGAAAAACCACCUUGCAAUAACCAGGAUGUGAUGGGAAGGGCAGAGCUCUUGGGCAGAGCAAGAGGCUGAAAAGUUCGGGUUAACAGGGAAAAUUAAUCCAGUAUUUUUACAAAUUUUCAACUUUUCACUCCUCCUGUGCCAGACCUACUGUGUGAAGUCAUCUCUGGAUGCAGGUAAUUCACCCACCCAGCCUGAGAGCCUCGAGUCAAAUAUAAACAUCAGAGUGCCACAGCUCCUUCCAGGACUGAGGUGUGUGCUGCUUUUCAGUGCCGUUGCUGAUUUACAAGCACUAAGCAAGUUUUCAACUGAAAAAAAAAAGGAAAAGAAAAGCCCAAAACCACACCAAAUUACUUUUCAACAAUGGCUUGCUUUUCUACAUCUUCUAAUUUAAUGUUUGAGCAAAGUUGCAAUCAGAAAAUGGAAUUACUAUCCUGAACUGAGAAAGAUAAAAUCAAUACUUGUAACAGUUAU